AGCUUUAUAGUUUAAAAAAAACUAUAAUUUUGUAAAUUAUUAAUAUAAAUCUAAUUUAUUAUUAAAGCUUC
rnacentral:tRNA from 1 species